rnacentral:tRNA from 1 species
AUCUAAAUAGCUUAAAGAAAGCAUAAUAUUGAAGAUAUUAAGAAGGAUAAAUUUAUUACCUUUAGAUA